rnacentral:rRNA from 1 species
UACGUAGGGGGCUAGCGUUGUCCGGAAUCAUUGGGCGUAAAGCGCGUGUAGGCGGUUUGGUAAGUCAGCUGUGAAAGUCGGGGGCUCAACCCUCGAAUGCCGGUGGAUACUGUCGAACUAGAGUGCGGAAGAGGCGAGUGGAAUUCCUGGUGUAGCGGUGAAAUGCGCAGAUAUCAGGAGGAACACCAAUUGCGAAGGCAGCUCGCUGGGACGUAACUGACGCUGAGACGCGAAAGCGUGGGGAGCAAACAGG